CCUACGGGGGACAGCAGUGGGGAAUAUUGCACAAUGGGGGAAACCCUGAUGCAGCGACGCCGCGUGAGUGAAGAAGUAUUUCGGUAUGUAAAGCUCUAUCAGCAGGGAAGAAAUAGCGACCUUUGGGUCGCCAGACGGUACCUGACUAAGAAGCCCCGUCUAACUACGUGCCAGCAGCCGCGGUAAUACGUAGGGGGCAAGCGUUAUCCGGCUUUACUGGGUGUAAAGGGGGCGUAGACGGCAGCACAAGUCUGAAGUGAAAUGCCGGGGCUUAACCCCGGAACUGCCUUUGAAACUGUGCAGCUAGAGUGCAGGAGAGGUAAGUGGAAUGCCUAGUGUAGCGGUGAAAUGCGUAGAUAUUAGGAGGAACACCAGUGGCGAAGGCGGCUUACUGGACUGUAACUGACGUUGAGGCUCGAAAGCGUGGGGAGCGAACAGGAUUAGAUACCCUAGUAGUC
rnacentral:rRNA from 1 species